UACGUAGGGGGCAAGCGUUGUCCGGAAUUAUUGGGCGUAAAGCGCGCGCAGGCGGCUUGGUAAGUCUAGCGUUUAAGCUCGGGGCUCAACCCCGAUACGCGCCGGAAACUGCCAAGCUUGAGUGCAGAAGAGGAAAGUGGAAUUCCACGUGUAGCGGUGAAAUGCGUAGAGAUGUGGAGGAACACCAGUGGCGAAGGCGACUUUCUGGGCUGUAACUGACGCUGAGGCGCGAAAGCGUGGGGAGCAAACAGG
rnacentral:rRNA from 1 species